GAAGUACUCCCUCUGUCCGGAAUUACUUGUCAUCAAAAUGGAUGUGUCUAGAACUAAAAUACAUCUAGAUACAUCCAUUUCAAUGACAAGUAUUUCCGGACAGAGGGAGUACAAG
rnacentral:pre_miRNA from 1 species